rnacentral:rRNA from 1 species
GAUGAACGCUGGCGGUAUGCCUAACACAUGCAAGUCGUACGGGAGUUUUUAACUCUAGUGGCGGACGGGUGAGUAACACGUGAGAAUUUGCCUUUAGGAGGGGGACAACAGUUGGAAACGACUGCUAAUACCCCAUAUGCUUUCGAGUGAAAUGGAUUUAUAUUUAUCCGCCUAGAGAGAAGCUCGCGGCUGAUUAGCUUGUUGGUAAGGUAAGAGCUUACCAAGGCGACGAUCAGUAUCUGGUUUGAGAGGACGAUCAGACACACUGGAACUGAGACACGGUCCAGACUCCUACGGGAGGCAGCAGUGGGGAAUUUUCCGCAAUGGGCGAAAGCCUGACGGAGCAAUACCGCGUGAGGGAAGACUGCCUAUGGGUUGUAAACCUCUUUUUUCAGGGAGGAAUCAAUGACGUGUACCUGAAGAAUAAGCAUCGGCUAACUCCGUG